rnacentral:rRNA from 1 species
CCUACGGGAGGCAGCAGUGGGGAAUAUUGCACAAUGGGGGAAACCCUGAUGCAGCGACGCCGCGUGAGUGAAGAAGUAUUUCGGUAUGUAAAGCUCUAUCAGCAGGGAAGACAUAGCGACCUUUGGGUCGCCAGACGGUACCUGACUAAGAAGCCCCGGCUAACUACGUGCCAGCAGCCGCGGUAAUACGUAGGGGGCAAGCGUUAUCCGGCUUUACUGGGUGUAAAGGGAGCGUAGACGGCAGCACAAGUCUGAAGUGAAAUGCCGGGGCUUAACCCCGGAACUGCAUUGGAAACUGUGCAGCUAGAGUGCAGGAGAGGUAAGUGGAAGUCCUAGUGUAGCGGUGAAAUGCGUAGAUAUUAGGAGGAACACCAGUGGCGAAGGCGGCUUACUGGACUGUAACUGACGUUGAGGCUCGAAAGCGUGGGGAGCAAACAGGAUUAGAUACCCUGGUAGUC